rnacentral:rRNA from 1 species
UACGUAGGGGGCUAGCGUUGUCCGGAAUCAUUGGGCGUAAAGCGCGUGUAGGCGGUCCGGUCAGUCCGCUGUGAAAGUCGGGGGCUCAACCCUCGAAUGCCGGUGGAUACUGUCGGGCUAGAGUGCGGAAGAGGCGAGUGGAAUUCCUGGUGUAGCGGUGAAAUGCGCAGAUAUCAGGAGGAACACCAAUGGCGAAGGCAGCUCGCUGGGGCGUGACUGACGCUGAGACGCGAAAGCGUGGGGAGCAAACAGG